ACGUAUGCUCAGCAAGUGCCGCGUGCCUCCCAUCCUUGGUCGGUGGUAAAUGCAGGAGGUAAUUAACAGGAUCUUAACAAACUUGGAGCCAGCCCACUGAGUCGUUAAAAAAACACCCGCAAAGAAAACACACGAGCGCUAACACUCCAGAGUUCCGAAACACAAAGUAAAUUUUGAGCUAAGGGUUACAGUCCUUGAAAUCUGGAAAUUUCAAGUAUCCCUCGGGAUAGUGUCCCUGGGAGGCGGAUAGGAUUCAGCACUCUAGAAUUGUCUCACCAUUUGAAUAGGUGCUGCUCAGUCGUUUGGAGUCUGUUGUCGGAAAGACCAUGGCUUUCUAGCUUUUCAUCUUUUUGGAUGGCUGCUUGUCGCAAUAUUGUCUUCUUCGCUUUAGACAAAGAAAAAUAUUUGUUGAAUGAGUGAACGUGGGAUCUCUGUUCAUUUUGAUAUAUUACUUUGCUUUCUGGGCUGAGCUCAGGACAGAUGCCAAAGCCUUUCCCUCUAAUGACAUCAAAGCCCUACUUCUAAAACCAGACUGGAUGAGAUUCCCUUCUACAAACAGAUUCAGUAAAGAAAUGUGAAUAUUCCCACA
rnacentral:sRNA from 1 species